UAAAAUUUCGGGAGAAUGAACAUUUGCUUUCUCUGCAUAUUCAUUCCUUGCUGAAUGCAGAACUGUCUCCACGAACAGAAAGUCAUGUUCCCGACAGCGCAGCAACACAGAUGGCUCCUUCAAUCUAAGCAAGCACUGAACAAUCAGUUCUUUCAAAAUGUGCCUGUAUUCAAGGAGGUCGUGGCUGACAUGCAGGAGCUCCUUCCCAGCUUCCUCCUUCAUGGAAUUAACUAAAUCAUCUUGAGCUUGAAGAACUUUAAGACGAGAAGCAUUCAGCUGCAUGGAGUACUCAAUUUUUCUACGAAUCUCCACUUGCUUCUCCUUUUUCUCAUACUCUUGUUUAAUCUUCUUCUUUUCAGCUUCAACCAGUUGCAACUUCGCAAUGUUGAAUUCCUCCUCGGCGGCGGCGUUGAUCUCGUUGGCCUUCUCCUCCGCCUCCUGGCGGAUGAACCUCACCAUCUGCUCGAUCUGCUUCGAGACAUCGGCGUCGUUCAUCUCCGGCAGCGGCGGUAGAUCGGAGCGAGGGCAGAACUGAU
rnacentral:misc_RNA from 1 species